rnacentral:rRNA from 1 species
GACAGCAGUAGCCGCGGGAAUACAGAGGGUGCGAGCGUUAAUCGGAUUUACUGGGCGUAAAGCGUGCGUAGGCGGCUUCUUAAGUCGGAUGUGAAAUCCCUGAGCUUAACUUAGGAAUUGCAUUCGAUACUGGGAAGCUAGAGUAUGGGAGAGGAUGGUAGAAUUCCAGGUGUAGCGGUGAAAUGCGUAGAGAUCUGGAGGAAUACCGAUGGCGAAGGCAGCCAUCUGGCCUAAUACUGACGCUGAGGUACGAAAGCAUGGGGAGCAAACAGGAUUAGAUACCCCUGUAGUCCCUGUCUCUUAUAA